AACGAACGCUGGCGGCAUGCCUAACACAUGCAAGUCGAACGAAGGCUUCGGCCUUAGUGGCGCACGGGUGCGUAACGCGUGGGAAUCUGCCCUUUGCUUCGGAAUAACAGUUAGAAAUGACUGCUAAUACCGGAUGAUGUCGCAAGACCAAAGAUUUAUCGGCAAAGGAUGAGCCCGCGUAGGAUUAGCUAGUUGGUGGGGUAAAGGCCUACCAAGGCGACGAUCCUUAGCUGGUCUGAGAGGAUGAUCAGCCACACUGGGACUGAGACACGGCCCAGACUCCUACGCGAGGCAGCAGUGGGGAAUAUUGGACAAUGGGCGAAAGCCUGAUCCAGCAAUGCCGCGUGAGUGAUGAAGGCCUUAGGGUUGUAAAGCUCUUUUACCCGGGAUGAUAAUGACAGUACCGGGAGAAUAAGCUCCGGCUAACUCCGUG
rnacentral:rRNA from 1 species